rnacentral:lncRNA from 1 species
GAUUGUACUCGAGAGGGACCGGAUGGCCUUGUGGUGGUACUAAAUGAUACGAUGGAGGAACCGAAUCAUACUGUGGUGGUCCCAGAUGGUACUGUGGAGGAGUAAAGUUGCACCGGGGUGGCUCAAGAUCCUCCCGCUGCAGGGGUGGCUCAAACUGUGGCAGCGAAUGAGGGUCAGGUAGCUCCCUCCUUUUCUCUUGGGCCUGCUAGGCAGCGAUGAGUCUCUCCAGCAUUUCAAAGAGUCAAUCAACAUCCUCUCGAAGCGAACCAUCCUAGUCUGCUCGGUUUAGUGGGGAUUUUCCUCUCCUCAUCUAUAUGUACCAGCAUUUCACAAGGAAUGAUUGAGCAAUAAUUCAUUUUUUUGGUAUUUCCUUAAGUUUUUUAUGUAAGAAAUGGUUCU